rnacentral:lncRNA from 1 species
UAUUCUUAGGCUAGAUAAUAAAAAGACAGUCAUUACCAGUACUUUUAGUUCCUUUGGGUUCGGCAAUCCGGUCUUGCUAAAACUAUACUACUAUUCAAUAGGUACACUUGCCUGCAUCGUGAUAAUAGUUAGUUUCAAGAACGAUUAAUUAUAAAUAUAUAAAACUUACUUGUCACGAAAAUCGUGAUCAACUAAAUUGAGAACUUUAGAAAUCUUUGGGAAAA